rnacentral:rRNA from 2 species
CCGAAUGGGGAAACCCAGUGUGAUUCGUCACACUAUCAUUAACUGAAUCCAUAGGUUAAUGAGGCGAACCGGGGGAACUGAAACAUCUAAGUACCCCGAGGAAAAGAAAUCAACCGAGAUUCCCCCAGUAGCGGCGAGCGAACGGGGAGGAGCCCAGAGCCUGAAUCAGCAUGUGUGUUAGUGGAAGCGUCUGGAAAGGCGCGCGAUACAGGGUGACAGCCCCGUACACAAAAGCGCAUGUGCUGUGAGCUCGAUGAGUAGGGCGGGACACGUGGUAUCCUGUCUGAAUAUGGGGGGACCAUCCUCCAAGGCUAAAUACUCCUGACUGACCGAUAGUGAACCAGUACCGUGAGGGAAAGGCGAAAAGAACCCCGGCGAGGGGAGUGAAAAAGAACCUGAAACCGUGUACGUACAAGCAGUGGGAGCACCCUUCGGGGUGUGACUGCGUACCUUUUGUAUAAUGGGUCAGCGACUUAUAUUCUGUAGCAAGGUUAACCGUAUAGGGGAGCCGGAGGGAAACCGAGUCUUAA